CCUACGGGAGGCAGCAGUAGGGAAUCUUCCGCAAUGGACGAAAGUCUGACGGAGCAACGCCGCGUGAACGAUGAAGGCCUUCGGGUCGUAAAGUUCUGUUGUUAGGGAAGAACAAGUGCUAGUUAAAUAAGCUGGCACCUUGACGGUACCUAACCAGAAAGCCACGGCUAACUACGUGCCAGCAGCCGCGGUAAUACGUAGGUGGCAAGCGUUGUCCGGAAUUAUUGGGCGUAAAGCGCGCGCAGGCGGUUUCUUAAGUCUGAUGUGAAAGCCCCCGGCUCAACCGGGGAGGGUCAUUGGAAACUGGGAAACUUGAGUGCAGAAGAGGAAAGUGGAAUUCCAAGUGUAGCGGUGAAAUGCGUAGAGAUUUGGAGGAACACCAGUGGCGAAGGCGACUUUCUGGUCUGUAACUGACGCUGAGGCGCGAAAGCGUGGGGAGCAAACAGGAUUAGAUACCCUGGUAGUCCACGCUGUAAACGAUGAGUGCUAAGUGUUAGAGGGUUUCCGCCCUUUAGUGCUGAAGUUAACGCAUUAAGCACUCCGCCUGGGGAGUACGGUCGCAAGACUGAAACUCAAAGAUAGUACGGCGNGNGAGCGCGACGACGACGACGAGGAGGAGG
rnacentral:rRNA from 1 species